UCUAAUGUGGCAGAAUAGUGCAAUGGACUUAAGCCCCAUAAAUAAAGUUGAUCUUUUUUUAGAA
rnacentral:tRNA from 1 species